AUACAGAGGGUGCAAGCGUUAUUCGGAAUUACUGGGCGUAAAGCGCGCGUAGGCGGAUGAUUAAGUCAGUUGUGAAAGCCCUGGGCUCAACCUAGGAACUGCAUCUGAUACUGGUCGUCUAGAGUUUAAGAGAGGGAAGUGGAAUUCCAGGUGUGGCAGUGAAAUGCGUAGAUAUCUGGAGGAACAUCAGUGGCGAAGGCGACUUCCUGGCUUAAAACUGACGCUGAGGUGCGAAAGCGUGGGUAGCGAACGGGAUUAGAAACCCGAGUAGUCC
rnacentral:rRNA from 1 species